CUCUCACAAAGAAAUACUGAAAGCUCAAAAAAAGAAAAGAUUUAAUUUCUUUAUCACAUAGUAGAAAUAAAACAAUAACAAAAAUAAUAAUUUAGGAAAAACAAUAACAAAAAUAAUAACUUAAGGAUUUAUAUUUGUGGAAGGAACAGAGAGAUAGGGUGGUGGCUGUGAAAAAUGCCAUUUGGCGUUGUAGAAGCAAAAAUAGCCUUAUGAUUAAGAGCCCUAGUGCCGGUUGCAUGGCCUUGGGCAAUGUACCUCUCCAUGCAGCAGCGUCCUCCUGUAUAAAGUGCAGAGAAUGAUCACACCCAUCUCAUAGAUUGUUGUGAGGAAUAAGGUGAAUAACAUAAGUCAUGCGCACUUAGUACAAUGCCCGGCACUUAGCAAGCACUUAGCAAUAUAUGUUACAUGAUACACAUUCUUGUCACAAUCCUCGCUACAUAUCUACACUUCUCUUUUGACAUUUCAUUCCCGUUAAAUUCUUAGUGUAAAGUCUUCUUUUCAUGCCUCUUAUUGUGUGCUCUUCUUUCUAAAAUAGAGUCUAGCCUUAUAAAAAAUAUAUAUGACAAGCCAACUGGAAGAAGGUCACAGUAAAUGAAAGCAGUGUAGCACAUUGCAAACCCAGACAGAAGCCUAGUUAAGACAAUUAUGCAAAGUUGGCUUACCUGUUUUUUCCCUUGGAGAAACAUCAGAAUCUUGACUCAUAAAAUCUGGUAUGACCCAUUUGUCUAAGUACCUACACAUGAGAAUACCCAGAUGUGUUCUUUAAUCACAAAACCAGAGAGGCUCACAGAACUAGAUAGAAUCCACAUUCUAUGAGGAAAGCCACAUUGUAUAAAACUGGUAAUAAAAGAGACUAGUCUCUAGCCACUCCUCACUGAGGAAUUGGUGAUGACUUCUAAACAAUGAAGUUGAAGAAACAGUUCUCAAACUUUGGUAACAGAGAAACUUUUUACUUUCUGUUUAGGUAUUGGCUAGAAGCACAGUCUCAUAGUUAGAAGGGUAGUCUUUGGCAUCACAAUACCUGGGGUUCUAAACCCAGCAUCAAUAUUUGCUAGAUGUGUGACUUCGGUGUCAUUAACAUCUCUGUGCCUCCAUUCUGUUAUCAGUACAUUGGAUUAAUAGUCGUACCUGUCCCAGAAGAUGAUUGUAAGUAUUAAACUUACUUACGAUAAGGUAAAGCACUUUGCACACAGCAGGUAAAUCUUUAGCUAUUUUUAUUAAUUAAUUCUUGAACAAUGGAUUUCCUUUAUUAAUUUUUUACUUAUAUUCACUUUAGAAAUUUCAGAAAAUCAAUUACAAGAGAGAAAGACAAAUUAAAAGAAAAACGAAAAAUCUUCUGUUAUCCAACCUCUCAGAGAUAACCACUGUUAAGGUUUUAGAAAUGUUUUCCUCCAGUAUUUUUUUAAUUUUUUAAUUUUUCCUUCUUCUCCCCAAAGCCCCCCAGUAUAUAGUUGUAUAUUCUAGUUGUAGGGCAUUCUAGUUGUGGCAUGUGGGAUGCCACCUCAGCGUGGCUUGAUGAGCAGUGCCAUGUCCACAUCCAGGAUCCAAACCUACAAAACCCUGGGCCACCAAAGCGGAGCACGUGAACUUAACAACUUGGCCACGGGGCUGGCCCCUCCAGUCUUCUUUUUAAAUAUACAAUUUCAGAACUAAGACCAAAGUGUACAUGGUAUUUUAUAACCUAAUUUGUUUCCCCCAACCACCAGUUAUUGAGGGAAAAUGUCAUAUUUUACAUUUAACCAUACAUAAUGAAAAAGUCCUUGUCAUUAAAUAUUCUUUUACAACAUUAUUAUGCCUAACACAGAAUAUUGCAUUGCCUCGAAGUAAUUAUUUAACCAUUCCCCUAUUACUGGAUAUUUUGAAGGUUUCCAAAUUUUCACUAAUUUUUUAAAGUGAUUGACCAUCCUUGGAGGUAAAUGUUCACCAGAUCUAUGAUCCUUUCCUUAAGAGACAUACCUGGGAGUGGAGUUUCCCAAUAUCAAAAAGAAUAAACAUUAUUAAAGCUUUUGGUGUAUUCAGUGGAUUUCUGUUGGAAUGCAUUAUUCCUUCCAAAAUGCUCUUUAUAAUUCUGGCUGGGAGUAUGUGAUGCUACAGUUGUUUGUCUCUAACCAACAGGAUCUUUUUUCAGUUCCAUUAUGAAACCCACAUUCUCUUCCGUGUGUCAAUAGGAAGGGCUUUUCAAACUCCUUCCGAGAGAAAAGAAUCCUUUCAUGUUGCCUUUAAGUGGAAUCGGAUUAUGGAAAAAUAUGAAACCCACAAUACUUAUUGUGCAACCUCUGGCAAUAGCAUCUCUAGAUGUUGUCUUUCUCACUUGAAACUCAGUAUUUUGUGUGUUUCACUGUUUACCAGUUUGGUGCUCAGCUGGAAUGAAGAGCUUCAAUUCCUCUUGACUAUCUCUCCACUUUUUCCUUUUCCACUUUCUGGACUGGCAUGUUAAUUUUUUAUAGGCCAAAAAAAUUAAAAACAUGAAAUUCCCAAAUGUCAACAAAUUUAUAAACUGGUUCACAAGUCAAAUUUCCUCUAGUGGCUUCUCUUUACAAUUAGAAUAAAUCUCGACCCUUUACACUGACAUGCAAAACCACAGAAGACCGAGCUCCUGGCCAGCUCUCCAGCUGCACCGUUGCCUCUCUCUCUUUGCCUACCAAAUUAGUCGCACUAAACAUUCCUCAGGUCGUUUAACACUCCAAGGACAUUCUGACACUAGAGUCCAUGCGUGAACUUUUCCUAGUGCCUGGAAGGCUUCUUUGCUCCUUCUUGUCAUUCAGAUCACAGCUCAAAUGACAUCUCCUCAUAGACCUUCCCUGGCCACUCAAUCUUAAGAUGGCUCUCAUUCACUCUUUCUCAUGUCACCCAAUUUAAUCUCUGCAACGCACUUGUCAUUUUUCUGAUCUAGAAUAAUAUCAAAAUCUUAAUUGGCUUGUAUCUCUUGGAAGUAGUGCCUGGCACAUAGUAGGGGCUCAAUAAAUGUUUACUAGAAAAUCUUGUUGAAUGGAUUAUGAAAAAAAAUUGCUUAUUAUAUCUUGCUUGAAACUUCCAGCAAAAGUUGAGUUCUGGAAGGAGGGAUGUUGUAACGACAAUAAGGUGAACCUCUGUGAGAGGAAAAUCUAUGGUACAACUAGCCUUAGAAAAGUAAUAAUAAGCAGAUCUACACAUAAUGGACAGGAGGAGAGAGGUUUAGGGACUUUGACAGAAAAACUUCCUUCUGAUCCUCAAAAAGGAAUGGAAGGAGAGACGGAACAGGAGCUAGUGCAGAAGAGAGGAAGGAAAGGAAGAAGGGGAGAAGGCAGGAAGGGCGAGAAGAAGGGAUGGAGAAAAAGAGUGAAUUCAAAGUAGUCCUUUGAAAUGCUCUGUGGUUGAGAUCUUACAGAGGCACAAGCCACAUUUAACAGACCCACAGAAAACAAGAAUGAUGCAUUAUAGGGCCAGGCAACCAAGGAGAGUUUCAAGGAGGAAUGUGAACUGAGCUUACAGAUUUAGUAAUGUUUUUUUACAAUAGAAAAAUAAGGAAAAGAGAAACAUAGCAGAGCCUAAGCAAAGGCAAGUAGAAAUAACAGUGCACAGCUGGUUCAGAGAAAUGGAAAUCAUUUUGAGGGGCUGGUGUAUGAGGUACAGAGGGCGAUGUGGAGGGAACCCUGACUGCUAGUACCUCCAGAGUGGACACAUGCAUGCCCCUGAGAGUGGUCUCAAGGCCUGGCCAGUUCUGACCUGCAGAAGAAGAGAGGCCUGCCAUGUGCUCCCUCUUCUUCCUGGUUCCCCCUCUGAUUUUUCUUUUUCUUGACAUCUUUAUUGAAAUAUAAUAUAUAAAACAUCCAAUUCAUCCAUUUAAAUCUACCCUUCAGUGGUUUUUAGCAUAUUCGCAGAGCGGUGCACCCAUCACCUCUAUCUAACUCCAGAACGUUUUUAACACUCCAAGGAAGAAACCCCACGCCCAUUAGCAGUCAGCCCUUAUCCCCACGCUCACCCCUGGGCAAACACGAAUCUAUGUUCUCUUUCUACAGAUUUGCCUAUUCUGGAUAUUUCAUAUAAAAGGAAUACAUGAUCUUUUCUGACUAGCCUCUUUUAUUUAGCAUAAUGUUUUCAACAUUCAUUCUUGUUGUAGUGUAUAUCAGUACUUCAUUCCUUUUCGUAGCUGAAUAAUAUUGCGUUGUAUGUUUAUACCACAUUUCAUAUAUCCAUCAUCAGUUGAUGGACGUUUGUAUUAUUUCCACUGUUUGGCUAUUAUGAAUAAUACUGCUAUAAACAUUCAUAUACAAGAAUUUCUGUGAGGGGCCAGCCCGGUGGCAUAGUGGUUAAGUUUGUGUGCUCCACUUCGGCAGCCUGGGGUUCACUGGUUCAGAUCCUGGGCACAGACCUACACACCACUCAUCAAGCCAUGCUGUGGCAGCAUCCCACAUAGAAGAACUAGAAGGACUUAAGGAAUUAUAACUAGGAUAUACAACUAUGUACCAGGGCUUUGGGGAGAAAAAAAAAGAGGAAGAUUGACAAUGGACGUUAGCUUAGGGCCAAUCUUCUUCACCAAAAGAAAAGAAAAGAAAAGAAAAAAGAAUUUCUGUGAGUGUGUAUUUUCAUUUGUCCUGGGUAUACACCCAGGAGUAGAAUUGUUGGGUCAUAUGGUUAACUUUAUCUUUAACCUUUUGAGGAAUUCCCUAUCUACUUUCCAAAGUGGCUGCACUACUUUACAUCCUCAUCAGCAAUAUAUGAGGCACCAGUUCUUCUACAUCCUUGUGAACACUUCCACAUCUGUCACUUUGAUUACAGUUUUCCUAGUCGAUGUGCAGUGCCAUCUCAUUGUGCUAUCGCAUUGCAGUUUUGACUUGCCCUUCCCUAAUGACUAAUGAAGUUGGGCAUCUUUCAUUAUGCUUAUUGGCUAUUCUGUUCUGCCCAGUCUAUUCUUCACGCGGUAGCAAAAUUAUAGCAUUUAACCCCCGGCAGGUCUCAAUACUCCCUUUCUUAAAACUUGUAAAGUUUCCUAAAACUUUACAAGACUGCCCCAUUACACUUCAACUAAAAUCUAAAUCCCUCCCACAAUAUAGCGCCUGCAUGAUGUUACAACUUGCAAUUAUUUUACUGAUUUGCAAUUAUUUUAUAAAUAAUUUUAAUUUACUAAAAUAAUUGAUAAUUAUUUUCCUAAUGUUUCUUUCUGGGGUAUAUGUCAAUCUUCCCUGUUCAGAAGGGCAGAAAUAAGGUCUGCCUGUCCUCCAUGAAUCCUCGUGUCAAGAACAAUGCCUAGCAUAUGGUAAAACGAAUGCUCACCAAAUGCAUGAAUAAUUAGGAAAUUACAAAAACAAAUCAUUCCCCCAAAAUAUAGCUAGAUAAUGCACAGUACUAUGUGAAUGAAAAGUGACAUAAGUGCGUGUCCUUCAUUUAUUUAGAUGAAAUAAUAAUGGUGUAUUUACUUCUCUCAUAAAAAAAUAUGCACUAGCUAUUCUAGAAGUCAAGAAUAUAAUGAAAGUAGACAUACUUUUUGCAGUUAAUUCACUUCAAUCACAGUCUCUAAAGACUGUUGUCUGCUGUUGUGAUAUUUUCAACCAGCAUAACUCGUAUCCACGUGCUGUUUGCCACUCAGCAAUGUAAAAAAAAAUAAUGAAUUAGUCAGACAACAGGCCUAUUACCAUUAUGCAGAUUUAUAACGCAGACUUUAUUGCAUAGAUUGGUAUUGAUGUGUUUAUUCUGGUUCUGUUAACAAUGAACGUGUAAGAGCCAAAUGAAAGUGUCAGCAGCUCCAGCGAGAGUCUGUGUCUUAACACGUUCCAUGGAUAUUGUGAUUCUCCCACAAGGCAGCCUUUGUUCAAUAAAACAUAAACGUCAUUUUGAACUAUGCUGCGAGGUUUAAGUUUCUUUGGGGUUUUGAGGUUGGUAUUGCCACACCCUAAGAAAUUCAUUUAAGGUAAUUGGAAGUUAAUAGAGAAAGAAAUUAUUCAUGCAAUAUGUUACUAAAAAUGAAAAACUAUCAGUUUGAUGGCUUGUGAUCUUUUACAUGGAAAGCAACUUCUUCCCUUUUCCUUUCUAAAUCUGUGACUUUGUGGAUUAAAAAGAAAACAUAACAGGAAGUAGUUCCCACAUAAGCCUCACUGACCUCUUCCUCCGUACUUUUCUGUAUAUUCGUCCCCAAGAACUCAUCUUGUUCUUCAGUUAUAUGAGCUUAUCUCCUCCAUCAACCCACUCUGUCUUAUCUUGAAGCAUCCACUUCUUUCCACCAUCUCAGUCAUCACCGGGUGUGGGACACUCAUGUUUCUCCUGAACAACAGCAGCCACCAUCUUACUGCUCCCCGCCUCCACUCGUGCCCCCCCGACCCCACCCUCCGCCCAGCAAGUCAGGUCAUGUCACUGUCCAUCAUUAUUGAAUGAAUGAAUGGUUAACCCACGGGGGGGACGCAGCAAUUCUAAUAAUCAUCUUCUCAUAUGUAUAAAGCAUCUGUUCAUAUCCUCAAACCACACUUUGAUGAGGGUGGGUGGGAUUAUUAUUAUUAACGUUGUUUCGAUUUCACAGAUGAAGAAACUAUGAUUAGGGCAGUGGGAUGAUGUGCUCAGGGUGACACAGUGAGUUUGGGCGCAGACGGAGCCGAGACUCUGACUUGGAGUUCCGAAUUCCCAGUCCUGUGUUCUUUCCACGGCUUUUUGUUUCCUCUGCCUUCCCCCACCCCAACUCACACACACAGACAUGCAGGCACACAUGCAUACACACACACACAACAAUUUAAGUGAAAUCUAGGGUGCCUAAUCUGGUUUGAAGCAAAUCUAAAAGCUAUUUGUUUUUCUGUCUUCAGACAGAGAGAAGCUAUUGCUUGCACAUCUGCGAUAGCAGAUGUGUGCAAGUGUGAGAUUAUUUAAUUUCCAAGAUAUAACCAAUCAUGCUGUCCCCAGAACCACCUGAGAAGAAAGUCCCAAUCUCAGAACAUGCACACAGCCCAAAUUAUCAAGACAGCCACUGAGAUAAGAAAGCCAUGAUCUCCUCUCUCAAGAGGGGCCUCAAAUUACUGUUCAGCUGAGUGUAUCUAGAAAAUGGGAAAGAUUAGAAUGCCCCUUGACACUUUUCUUCCUUUUGAGCAAGUUAUUAAAUGAGACAGAGCUCUUUGGGAGGCUUAUUUUUCUUGUAGCUCACAGAAGGAACUUACAGCAUGAUGAAAGGACACUCUGAUUAGGCAGGGCAAAGGAAACUAAAGCUGAGAGAGGAGACUGGAGAAAAUUUAAUAAAAAAUAAGAAGGAGAGAAUCAUACAAUAUCUUCAUACCAAAAUACACAUUUGAACAGGAGGCAGAGUAUGACAGUGCCACAAGACUACUUCAUUGUGCUACCUUAUCUCUUAUGAAGCAUCUUAAUCCCCUUUUUCAUCCAGGACAAGAAUGACACCCACAUCCUCUGGAGAAGAUGGUUAGGGAAAUCAGACUGGCUGAAGACUCUGGUGAGAGAUGCUGCGGUACCCACUGGGGGAAGCAGAUAUACAGUUUGGGAAGAUUGACCUCAUGCCCAAGACUACUCCAGGGUUGAUAGCCUUCUGGACCAGUGCAUGGCUUUACUGGAUUCUACAACAAUCUGUGGCAAAUUGUCUCCAAAGAUGGUCGAAAACUCACCUUAUAAGGAGUACUAAAGGAAGUUCACUAGGCUGAAAAAAAGGAUUCCCAGAAGAUAAUUUGAAUCCACACAAAAAACGAAGUACAC
rnacentral:lncRNA from 1 species